UUGCAGCCAAUUAAGCUGACUGUGCUCUUUUCCCCAUGGGGCCCCUGUGUGCAAUGACUGAAAACAGCAGCCUUCUUAGUAGUGUAUGCAGCCUGUUGCCUCUAUGGGUUGCCCUAAGGGACCCUGGAGACAGCC
ensembl:snoRNA SNORA70 Small nucleolar RNA SNORA70